GACGAACGCUGGCGGCGUGCUUAACACAUGCAAGUCGAACGGAAAGGCCCUGCUUUUGUGGGGUGCUCGAGUGGCGAACGGGUGAGUAACACGUGAGUAACCUGCCCUUGACUUUGGGAUAACUUCAGGAAACUGGGGCUAAUACCGGAUAGGAGCUCCUGCUGCACGGUGGGGGUUGGAAAGUUUCGGCGGUUGGGGAUGGACUCGCGGCUUAUCAGCUUGUUGGUGGGGUAGUGGCUUACCAAGGCUUUGACGGGUAGCCGGCCUGGGAGGGUGACCGGCCACAUUGGGACUGAGAUACGGCCCAGACUCCUACGGGAGGCAGCAGUGGGGAAUAUUGCACAAUGGGCGGAAGCCUGAUGCAGCAACGCCGCGUGCGGGAUGACGGCCUUCGGGUUGUAAACCGCUUUCGCCUGUGACGAAGCGUGAGUGACGGUAAUGGGUAAAGAAGCACCGGCUAACUACGUG
rnacentral:rRNA from 1 species